rnacentral:tRNA from 1 species
GCCAGUGUGGUGUAGUGGUUUGAGCACUGGACUACAACUCUGGAGACCAAGGUUUGAAUUCUUGUUCAGCCA